CAACAAAAGAAUAAAGCAAGCAUGGAAGGAAGAGAAAGCUGAGUUCUACUGUGGUGGUUAUAGAAGCAUUGACAAGGCUGGAGAGAAGAGACUCUUCCAUCUGCUCAGCUGCCUGCUAGUCAUCAAGGGAACUCCAGGGAUACAGCUCUAAUUUCCAUCACCCAUGCCGGGGGUGGCUUUUUAGUGAUGAAGCUACUUUUGAGUCAUCUAUGAUCCUGUGGGUAAUCCCAAUAAACUCACUCAGUCACAGGGCU